rnacentral:ncRNA from 1 species
AUGAUUAGGAAGAGUAAGUGCCCUGCUUAGUACAAAAGGAACCACAGAUUCAGACAUUUGGUGUAUGUGCUUGGCUGAGGAGCGAAUGGGGCUAAAAUACCAUCUGUGGGAUUAUGACUGAAUGCCUCUAAAUCAGAAUCCCUCACCUAGAAGCCUUGGUUGGCCUCGGAUAGCUGGUACCAUGCCAUCCCUGCUGGUGAGCCACUGCGUCACACCCCGCGUCUGGACUGGGCUCCAGUGCAGAGAGCCCCUCAUUUUGGGAAACAGGGUAUGACCAGAAAGGGGGCCACCCCCUGCUCUUCACGCAGUGCAUAUUCCUGGUGAACCUGGUGCUAAAACCAUUUGUUGAUGACCUGCUCAUUGGUCGGGGUUUCGAACAGAGAAGAGCAGCUCCCUUGCUGCGAUCUAUUGAAAAUCAGCUUUCCACACAAGGGUUG